rnacentral:rRNA from 1 species
UCCGUAGGUGGAUAAUUAAGUCAGAGGUGAAAUCCUUCAGCUCAACUGUAGAAUUGCCUUUGAUACUGGUUAUCUUGAGUUAUUAUGAAGUAGUUAGAAUAUGUAGUGUAGCGGUGAAAUGCAUAGAUAUUACAUAGAAUACCAAUUGCGAAGGCAGAUUACUAAUAAUCAACUGACACUGAUGGACGAAAGCGUGGGGAGCGAACAGGAUUAGAUACCCUGGUAGUCC